AUACGUAGGUGCCAAGCGUUAUCCGGAUUUACUGGGCGUAAAGGGCGUGUAGGCGGUCUUGCAAGUCAGAAGUGAAAUUCCUGAGCUCAACUCGGGCGCUGCUUCUGAAACUGCAGGACUUGAGUGCUGGAGGGGAUAGCGGAAUUCCUAGUGGAGCGGUAAAAUGCGCAGAUAUUAGGAAGAACACCGGUGGCGAAGGCGGGUGUCUGGACAGUAACUGACGCUGAGGCGCUAAAGAGUGGGGAGCAAACAGGAUUAGAGACCAUGGUAGUCCACGCCGUAAGCGAUGAAUACUAGGUGUAGGGGGUAUCGACUCCCUCUGUGCCGCAGUUAACACAAUAAGUAUUCCGCCUGGGGAGUACGGCCGCAAGGUUGAAACUCAAAUGAAUUGACGGGG
rnacentral:rRNA from 1 species